GAUGAAGAACGUAGCGAAGUGCGAUAAGUAAUGUGAAUUGCAGAAUUCCGUGAAUCAUCAAAUCUUUGAACGCAAAUUGCACUCUCUUCGGAGAGUAUGCCUGUUUGAGGGUCAGUAUUAAUAAAAAUCGGUGUGUUGCUCCUUUGUGACGUUCCGGAGUUUGGGUUAUCUUAGCUUUUUUUGGUUAAGAGGCUUAAAAUUGACCUUUUUUGCGCAUUUUUUAGACGUACAUAAAUUUUUUUUUUUUUAUUCGUCUAUUCCUAAUGCCAAAAUCUUAUUAGAUGCGAUCAUAUCGUGUGAUUUCGUGUCUAUAAAUUUUUCAUGAUUUGACCUCAAAUCAGGUAAGAGUACCCGCUGAACUUAAGCAUAUCAAUAAGCGGAGGA
rnacentral:misc_RNA from 1 species